rnacentral:rRNA from 1 species
UACGUAGGGGGGCAAGCGUUGUCCGGAUUUAUUGGGGCGUAAAGCGCUCGCAGGUGGCCCGAUGCGUCGUGCGUGAAAGACCCCGGCUCAACUGGGGGAGUGUCGUGCGAUACGGUCGGGCUGGAGGCCAGUAGGGGGGAUGCGGAAUUCCGGGGUAGUGGUGGAAUGCGUAGAGAUCCGGAGGAACACCAGCGGCGAAGGCGGCAUCCUGGACUG